GGGCCAAACAUGCAGUCGAACGAUGAAGCCUUUCGGGGUGGAUUAGUGGCGAACGGGUGAGUAACACGUGGGCAAUCUGCCCUUCACUCUGGGACAAGCCCUGGAAACGGGGUCUAAUACCGGAUAACACUCUGUCCCGCAUGGGACGGGGUUAAAAGCUCCGGCGGUGAAGGAUGAGCCCGCGGCCUAUCAGCUUGUUGGUGGGGUAAUGGCCUACCAAGGCGACGACGGGUAGCCGGCCUGAGAGGGCGACCGGCCACACUGGGACUGAGACACGGCCCAGACUCCUACGGGAGGCAGCAGUGGGGAAUAUUGCACAAUGGGCGAAAGCCUGAUGCAGCGACGCCGCGUGAGGGAUGACGGCCUUCGGGUUGUAAACCUCUUUCAGCAGGGAAGAAGCGAAAGUGACGGUACCUGCAGAAGAAGCGCCGGCUAACUACGUGCCAGCAGCCGCGGUAAUACGUAGGGCGCAAGCGUUGUCCGGAAUUAUUGGGCGUAAAGAGCUCGUAGGCGGCUUGUCACGUCGGAUGUGAAAGCCCGGGGCUGAACCCCGGGUCUGCAUUCGAUACGGGCUAGCUAGAGUGUGGUAGGGGAGAUCGGAAUUCCUGGUGUAGCGGUGAAAUGCGCAGAUAUCAGGAGGAACGCCGGUGGCGAAGGCGGAUCUCUGGGCCAUUACUGACGCUGAGGAGCGAAAGCGUGGGAGCGAACAGGAUUAGAUACCCUGGUAGUCCACGCCGUAAACGUUGGGAACUAGGUGUUGGCGACAUUCCACGGUCAUCGGUGCCGCAGCUUAACGCAUUAAGUUCCCCGCCUGGG
rnacentral:rRNA from 2 species